rnacentral:lncRNA from 1 species
GCUGAUAUUGUAUUCGGAGUAUUUGAAUUUGUUACAUAUUUAAAUAAAACAUAUUUGAAUAACAAAUUCAAUCAAUAGUAAGUAUUUAAAAUAAGCAUCUAAUUUUUUAAUGGGACUACAGAAUACAAAGGAUUGAUUACUAAACCCGUUCCAAUAGAUAUCUUGAAAAAUAAAAAAGAAUACUUAUCAAACAUCUAAAAUCUUGUAAGUUAAAAUAUAACACCUCAAACUUGGCCGAGAUAUUUUGACCAAAUUACGAAGGUUACAUUGCUCCUUCAAAUCCAAACCAAAAACCUUCUUUAAAACCUUUCGAUUUGAUAAAAGUAUUUGAUUUCGUUUCUUUUGAGUGUUUGGGAGCUUAAGUUUAUACCAUCAUGUCUUUGAAUUAGACACUUUCCGCGGAAAGACCUUUUAGAGUUAUCAUCUUUAGAAAUUUCAUUUAACUUAAUAAAAAUUUAUCAAAAAUAACCAACUAAAUAAUAUUAGCCAAAAAUCCAAAAAAAAAAAUCAAAAUAAACGUACAAAAAAACAAAUUACAGUUUAAAAAGUCCAUAAUAUCCAAAAAAAAGUUUCCUAAUGAAACCAAAUUCAAUACCAAAUCAAAACCAAAUCCAAUAUCAAAUCGAGCUUCAAGAUCACCGCCCAACUUUCUCUAAGGAUUACCUGAAAAUAGUAAAAUAAUAAAGUUAGCUAAAAGCCAAUAUGUGUGCCACGGCGCACAAACAGAAAUCACAUGCAUAAUUAAAACAUACAUAUCAGAAUUUCACAUGUGCAAAAGUAUCUAUCAGAACAAAUUAAUCCAACCCCCGUCAGCUAUCUAUCAUCUCCAUCUAACCCAUCAAAUCAUAAGGAUUGCAAUAGUCCAUCCAACCAGCACAUCGUAAUGUUGACGUAUGCCACUCAGAAAAUUUACAGUUCAAAUAGAAAUUUGUGAAAAUACGGUAAAAAAUGUAGUAAUACUGCCAAAAUAAUACUUCCUCCAAUCCAUAUCAUAUCUCACCCCAAUGCACAUAUAUUAUCAUGUUAAUAUCUCAUACAACAUAUAUUCUUAUCGAAUCGAAAAUAUGACAUAUUUCAUCAAUGUCAUUAAUUCAGAUUUUAUCACAAGCUUAUAUAGAGUUAUUACUUAAUUUCAUACUUACUAACAUACAAACAUAUAAACUUUAAAGUACUACAUGCUAUCUAAAAAUCCAAUUUCAAAACUUUAUUCUCAAUCCAAACAGAACCCACAAAAAGAUCAGAAUGGAUCCACACACCCAUAUAACCUACACAAUCUAACAAAUCAAACUGUGUCACUCACACCGAGUGACGAACUGCAAUUUCGGAUUUUUCCUUAAUUUUUGAAUUAGAAACACACAUCUAAUUGCUGUAAAAAAGUCGGCACCACAACAGCAACAAUUACUGAACACAACAUUUACAACCCAACCUAAUUAGCAACUAAAAACGAAACCGAAAGGCGGAUUCAGUGCUUAACACUUAAACCAAUCCCCAAACCGGCAUUAGAAACUUAACCCCGGGAAAUCAGCAGUAGAGCAGCGACUAAACUGCCGGCGGAUGAUUGUGCACCUCACGAACUUCUCCUAUCAAAACAACAAAACAUCCAUCUAAGCGCUACCCAACAAAAUAACGGCCACCUACUCUAAGAUCAUAUCAACAAAGGAAGUACCACAUUACAACCGGUAACAAAAAAAUAGACGUUCUUACCCGAGACGAAACCUUAAAGCCGCACUUCCACUACAAGGAAGGAAACGGAAAAACGAAGUUGAACAAGGAAUGCUACGUCGGAUUAUGGCAGGAACCAAAAUUAAGAAGAGAAAAAGAAGGGAAAUAGGGGUGUAAAGUGUAAAUAAUUGGCAGCAGAGGAAACCAAAAAUUCGGCAGUCAAAUUGGAAAGAAAAAGAAAAACAGAGGGUAUGGAGGGAGGGGGGGAGUUGGACGGCAGCUUUGGAGAUAAAAUCAAAAUAAAUAAAAUCAAAUCCGAUUUUAUUUUAAAUUCAAUCCGAUACCAUCUUAUAAGUUGCUAGGAAUUCAAUUUCCACUCAAAUACCACUGGGUAGUACAUAAAGAUUCAAACAUAAGACUAAACUACCAAACUCAUUCUUGUCAACAACGUAAUGAAAUUGAAAGAUAUGCUCUACAACUCUGGUAUGACAUAAUUUCCAAAUUAAUAUGAAAAUUCAAAACAAGAGAAUCAAAUUCAAGACCUGUUGAUAUGUGUCUGUAUGUGAUACAAGUAAGGUAUGUGAAAAAUAUAUGUACGAUUUGUGUUUUUGAUAAAUCUGAAAUCUUGAUUACGUAUGAAAGGUAUGCAUGACAUUUGUUUAUGAAAUGCAUGCGUUAGUUUAUUUAUGCAUGUUAUGUGAUUGAGGAAGUGUAUU